ACGUAGGGAGCAAGCGUUGUUCGGAUUUACUGGGCGUAAAGGGCGCGUAGGCGGCAAAUCAAGUCAUCUGUGAAAUCUCCGGGCUUAACUCGGAACGGUCAGAUGAUACUGCUUUGCUAGAGUGCAGAAAGGGCAAUCGGAAUUCUUGGUGUAGCAGUGAAAUGCGUAGAUAUCGAGAGGAACACCAGUGGCGAAGGCGAGUCUCUGGACGACUCCUGACACCGAGGCACGAAAGCUAGGGGAGCAAACAGGA
rnacentral:rRNA from 1 species